rnacentral:rRNA from 1 species
GAUGAACGCUGGCGGCGUGCCUAAUACAUGCAAGUCGAGCGAAUGGAUUAAGAGCUUGCUCUUAUGAAGUUAGCGGCGGACGGGUGAGUAACGCGUGGGUAACCUGCCCAUAAGACUGGGAUAACUCCGGGAAACCGGGGCUAAUACCGGAUAACAUUUUGAACCGCAUGGUUCGAAAUUGAAAGGAGGCUUCGGCUGUCACUUAUGGAUGGACCCGGGUCGCAUUAGCUAGUUUGGGAGGUAACGGCUCACCAAGGCAACGAUGCGUAGCCGACCUGAGAGGGUGAUCGGCCACACUGGGACUGAGACACGGCCCAGACCCCUACGGGAGGCAGCAGUAGGGAAUCUUCCGCAAUGGACGAAAGUCUGACGGAGCAACGCCGCGUGAGUGAUGAAGGCUUUCGGGUCGUAAAACUCUGUUGUUAGGGAAGAACAAGUGCUAGUUGAAUAAGCUGGCACCUUGACGGUACCUAACCAGAAAGCCACGGCUAACUACGUGCCAGCCGCCGCCGUAA